UUGCCAGCAUUUAGUUGGGCACUCUAAGGGGACUGCCGGUGAUAAGCCGAGAGGAAGGUGGGGAUGACGUCAAGUCCGUCAUGGCCCUUACGGGCUGGGCUACACACGUGCGUACAAUGGUGGUGACAGUGGGCAGCGAGCACGCGAGUGUGAGCUAAUCUCCAAAAGCCAUCUCAGUUCGGAUUGCACUCUGCAACUCGAGUGCAUGAAGUUGGAAUCGCUAGUAAUCGCGGAUCAGCAUGCCGCGGUGAAUACGUUCCCGGGCCUU
rnacentral:rRNA from 1 species